UACGGAGGGUGCAAGCGUUAUCCGGAAUCAUUGGGUUUAAAGGGUCCGUAGGCGGACUAAUAAGUCAGAGGUGAAAUCCAGCAGCUCAACUGUUGAACUGCCUUUGAUACUGUUAGUCUUGAGUUAUUGUGAAGUGGUUAGAAUAUGUAGUGUAGCGGUGAAAUGCAUAGAUAUUACAUAGAAUACCAAUUGCGAAGGCAGAUCACUAACAAUAUACUGACGCUGAUGGACGAAAGCGUGGGGAGCGAACGGG
rnacentral:rRNA from 1 species